UACGUAGGGGGCAAGCGUUGUCCGGAAUCAUUGGGCGUAAAGAGCGCGUAGGCGGCUGGAAUAGUCCGGUGUGAAAUCCACAGGCUUAACCUGUGAAUGCCGCUGGAAACUGUCUGGCUAGAGUCCGGAAGGGGCGAGUGGAAUUCCUGGUGUAGCGGUGAAAUGCGCAGAUAUCAGGAGGAACACCAAUGGCGAAGGCGGUUCUCUGGGCCUGUACUGACGCUGAGGAGCGAAAGCGUGGGGAGCGAACAGG
rnacentral:rRNA from 1 species